rnacentral:rRNA from 3 species
GAUGAACGCUGGCGGCGUGCUUAACACAUGCAAGUCGAACGAGCCUUCGGGCUAGUGGCGGACGGGUGAGUAACGCGUGGGAAUCUGCCCUCAGGAGGGGGAUAACGGCCGGAAACGGCCGCUAAUACCCCAUAUGCCGAGAGGUGAAAUGAAUUUCGCCUGAGGAUGAGCCCGCGUCUGAUUAGCUAGUUGGUGGGGUAAUGGCCCACCAAGGCGACGAUCAGUAGCUGGUCUGAGAGGAUGAUCAGCCACACUGGGACUGAGACACGGCCCAGACUCCUACGGGAGGCAGCAGUGGGGAAUUUUCCGCAAUGGGCGAAAGCCUGACGGAGCAACGCCGCGUGAGGGAUGAAGGCCUCUGGGCUGUAAACCUCUUUUCUCAAGGAAGAAGACAUGACGGUACUUGAGGAAUAAGCCACGGCUAAUUCCGUGCCAGCAGCCGCGGUAAUACGGGAGUGGCAAGCGUUAUCCGGAAUUAUUGGGCGUAAAGCGUCCGCAGGCGGCCUUGUAAGUCUGUCGUUAAAGCGUGGAGCUUAACUCCAUUUCAGCGAUGGAAACUACAAGGCUUGAGUGUGGUAGGGGCAGAGGGAAUUCCCGGUGUAGCGGUGAAAUGCGUAGAUAUCGGGAAGAACACCAGUGGCGAAGGCGCUCUGCUGGGCCAUAACUGACGCUCAUGGACGAAAGCCAGGGGAGCGAAAGGGAUUAGAUACCCCUGUAGUCCUGGCCGUAAACGAUGAACACUAGGUGUCGGGGGAAUCGACCCCCUCGGUGUCGUAGCUAACGCGUUAAGUGUUCCGCCUGGGGAGUACGCACGCAAGUGUGAAACUCAAAGGAAUUGACGGGGGCCCGCACAAGCGGUGGAGUAUGUGGUUUAAUUCGAUGCAACGCGAAGAACCUUACCAGGGUUUGACAUCCUGCGAAUCCCUUGGAAACGAGGGAGUGCCUUCGGGAGCGCAGAGACAGGUGGUGCAUGGCUGUCGUCAGCUCGUGUCGUGAGAUGUUGGGUUAAGUCCCGCAACGAGCGCAACCCACGUCUUUAGUUGCCAGCAUUCAGUUGGGCACUCUAGAGAGACCGCCGGUGAUAAACCGGAGGAAGGUGUGGAUGACGUCAAGUCAUCAUGCCCCUUACAUCCUGGGCUACACACGUACUACAAUGCUACGGACAAAGGGUUGCAAGCUCGCGAGAGUUAGCUAAUCCCAUAAACCGUGGCUCAGUUCAGAUCGUAGGCUGCAACUCGCCUACGUGAAGGAGGAAUCGCUAGUAAUCGCAGGUCAGCAUACUGCGGUGAAUACGUUCCCGGGCCUUGUACACACCGCCCGUCACACCAUGGAAGUUGGCCAUGCCCGAAGUCGUUACUCCAACCCUUGUGGAGGAGGACGCCGAAGGUGGGGCUGAUGACUGGGGUGAAGUCGUAACAAGGUAGCCGUACCGGAAGGUGCGGCUGGAUCACCUCCUAA